GUAGGGUGCAAGCGUUAAUCGGAAUUACUGGGCGUAAAGCGUGCGCAGGCGGUUUCGUAAGUCUGUCGUGAAAGCCCCGGGCUCAACCUGGGAAUUGCGAUGGAGACUGCAAGGCUUGAAUCUGGCAGAGGGGGGUAGAAUUCCACGUGUAGCAGUGAAAUGCGUAGAGAUGUGGAGGAACACCGAUGGCGAAGGCAGCCCCCUGGGUCAAGAUUGACGCUCAUGCACGAAAGCGUGGGGGAGCAAACAGGAUUAGAUACCCUGGUAGUCCACGCCCUAAACGAUGUCUACUAGUUGUCGGGUUUUAAUUAACUUGGUAACGCAGCUAACGCGUGAAGUAGACCGCCUGGGGAGUACGGUCGCAAGAUUA
rnacentral:rRNA from 1 species